rnacentral:rRNA from 1 species
UACGGAGGGCGCAAGCGUUACUCGGAAUCACUGGGCGUAAAGGACGCGUAGGCGGGUUGGUAAGUCUGAUGUGAAAUCCUACAGCUUAACUGUAGAACUGCAUUGGAAACUACUAGCCUAGAGUAUGGGAGGGGCAGAUGGAAUUAGUGGUGUAGGGGUAAAAUCCGUAGAUAUCACUAGGAAUACCGAAAGCGAAGGCGAUCUGCUGGAACAUUACUGACGCUAAGGCGUGAAAGCGUGGGGAGCAAACAGG